UACGUAGGGUGCGAGCGUUAAUCGGAAUUACUGGGCGUAAAGCGUGCGUAGGCGGUGUGUCACGUCGGCCGUGAAAACCUGCAGCUUAACUGUGGGCGUGCGGUCGAUACGGGCAUCACUGGAGUUCGGCAGGGGAGACUGGAAUUCCUGGUGUAGCGGUGAAAUGCGCAGAUAUCAGGAGGAACACCGGUGGCGAAGGCGGGUCUCUGGGCCGAUACUGACGCUGAGGAGCGAAAGCGUGGGGGAGCAAACAGG
rnacentral:rRNA from 1 species